AAAAGAAUCAGCACCGGCUAACUACGUGCCAGCAGCCGCGGUAAUACGUAGGGUGCAAGCGUUAAUCGGAAUUACUGGGCGUAAAGCGUGCGCAGGUGGUUUUGUAAGACCGACGUGAAAUCCCCGGGCUCAACCUGGGAAUGGCGUUGGUGACUGCAAGACUUGAGUGUGGCAGAGGGGGUGGAAUUCCACGUGUAGCAGUGAAAUGCGUAGAGAUGUGGAGGAACACCGAUGGCGAAGGCAGCCCCCUGGGCUAACACUGACACUCAUGCACGAAAGCGUGGGGAGCAAACAGGAUUAGAUACCCUGGUAGUCCACGCCCUAAACGAUGCUGACUAGUUGUUGGGAAUUUACAUUCUCAGUAACGUAGCUAACGCGUGAAGUCAGCCGCCUGGGGAGUACGGUCGCCAGAUUAAAACUCCAAGGGAAUUGACGGGGACCCGCACAACCGUGGAUGAUGUGGAUUAAUUCGAUGCAACGCGAAAAACCUUUACCUACCCUUGACAUGUCCCUUAACGAAGUAGAAGAAUACUUUAGGUGGCCCGCUAGGGAAAGUGAACAC
rnacentral:rRNA from 1 species